rnacentral:tRNA from 1 species
UGCCUCAUAGCUCAGCGGUAGAGCAAGCGGCUGUUAACCGCUUGGUCCCUGGUUCGAAUCCAGGUGAGGCAG